rnacentral:rRNA from 1 species
CAUACUCAAAUAACAAGACUAUUCGCCAGAAGAACUACUAGCCAUUGCUUAAAACUCAAAGGACUUGGCGGUGCUUUAUACCCCUCUAGAGGAGCCUGUUCUAUAAUCGAUAAACCCCGCUUAACCUCACCACUCUUUGCAAUAUCAGCCUAUAUACCGCCACUUUCAGCAAAAAAAA